UUAGAAUGAAGACACAAACUGAGACAUUGA
rnacentral:piRNA from 2 species